ensembl:snRNA U6 U6 spliceosomal RNA
GUGCUCACUUUGGCAGCACAUACACUAAACCUGGAAUAAUACAGAGCAGAUUAGCAGGGCUCCUGCACAAGGAUGACAUACACAUUCAUGAAGUGUUCCAUAUUUAC